rnacentral:rRNA from 1 species
AACUUUCAACAACGGAUCUCUUGGUUCUGCAUCGAUGAAGAACGCA